UGACCUGGCGGUAGGCUCCCACAUGUGUAUCGAGCGCGAAAGCACUUCCGUGUGAUAAGAGCGGCGGACGGGUGAGUAACGCGUAAGAAUCUACCUAGUAGUGGGGGACAACUCGGGGAAACUCGAGCUAAUACCGCAUACGCCCUACGGGGGAAAGCGGGGGACCUUCGGGCCUCGUGCUAUUAGAUGAGCUUGCGUUGGAUUAGCUUGUUGGUGGGGUAAUGGCCCACCAAGGCGACGAUCCAUAGCUGGUCUGAGAGGAUGAUCAGCCACACCGGGACUGAGACACGGCCCGGACUCCUACGGGAGGCAGCAGUGGGGAAUAUUGCGCAAUGGGCGAAAGCCUGACGCAGCCAUGCCGCGUGUGUGAAGAAGGCCUUCGGGUUGUAAAGCACUUUCAAUUGGGAGGAAAGGUUCACGGCUAAUACCC
rnacentral:rRNA from 1 species